UACGGAGGGUGCAAGCGUUAUCCGGAUUCACUGGGUUUAAAGGGUGCGUAGGUGGGUUGGUAAGUCAGUGGUGAAAUCCCCGAGCUUAACUUGGGAACUGCCAUUGAUACUAUCAGUCUUGAAUAUUGUGGAGGUCAGCGGAAUAUGUCAUGUAGCGGUGAUAUGCUUAGAUAUGACAUAGAACACCAAUUGCGAAGGCAGCUGGCUACGCAUAUAUUGACACUGAGGCACGAAAGCGUGGGGAUCAAACAGG
rnacentral:rRNA from 1 species